rnacentral:rRNA from 1 species
GACGAACGCUGGCGGCGUGCUUAACACAUGCAAGUCGUACGGUAAGGCCCUUUCGGGGGUACACGAGUGGCGAACGGGUGAGUAACACGUGAGUAACCUGCCCACAACUUUGGGAUAACGCUAGGAAACUGGUGCUAAUACUGGAUAUGUGCUCCUGCUGCAUGGUGGGGGUUGGAAAGCUCCGGCGGUUGUGGAUGGACUCGCGGCCUUUCAGCUUGUUGGUGGGGUAGUGGCCUACCAAGGCGGCGACGGGUAGCCGGCCUGAGAGGGUGACCGGCCACAUUGGGACUGAGAUACGGCCCAGACUCCUACGGGAGGCAGCAGUGGGGAAUAUUGCACAAUGGGCGCAAGCCUGAUGCAGCAACGCCGCGUGCGGGAUGACGGCCUUCGGGUUGUAAACCGCUUUCAGCAGGGACGAAGCUUUUUGUGACGGUACCUGCAGAAGAAGCACCGGCUAACUACGUG